AAGUCGUAACAAGGUUUUCGUAGGUGAACCUGCGGAGGGUCAUUAACACGUAUUCAACGUUAAACCCCUGUGACACCUUCAGUGUGCUCGUGCACUCUUAGAAAAGGUAGCAAUCCUGGUAAAUCAUUGCCGAACAGUUUUGAUUUAGGGACUUCUCGUAGACUGCUUGUAGCGCGAGGCAAGUGGCCUGGCAUUCCUCUGCGAAUGGCGCAGUCACGAUCGCUAGAGGACGACACGGCCGGCGACCGGGUCACUGGGCUCACGCCCACACCUUUGCAUGAAAACGGGGCUGCGCUUAAUUGUGCGGCCACCAAACUCGAACAACUGUUAACAAUGGGGAUAUCUUGGUUCUC
rnacentral:misc_RNA from 1 species